AUUGAACGCUGGCGGCAUGCUUUACACAUGCAAGUCGAACGGUAACAGGUCUUCGGAUGCUGACGAGUGGCGAACGGGUGAGUAAUGCAUCGGAACAUACCCAGUUGUGGGGGACAACUACGCGAAAGCGUAGCUAAUACCGCAUAAUAUCUAUGGAUGAAAGCAGGGGAUCGCAAGACCUUGCGCAAUUGGAAUGGCCGAUGUUAGAUUAGGUAGUUGGUGUGGUAAAGGCGCACCAAGCCUGCGAUCUAUAGCUGGUCUGAGAGGACGACCAGCCACACUGGAACUGAGACACGGUCCAGACUCCUACGGGAGGCAGCAGUGGGGAAUUUUGGACAAUGGGCGCAAGCCUGAUCCAGCAAUGCCGCGUGCAGGAUGAAGGCCUUAGGGUUGUAAACUGCUUUUGUACAGAACGAAAAAUUCUGGGUUAAUACCCUGGGACCAUGACGGUACUGUAAGAAUAAGCACCGGCUAACUACGUGCCAGCCGCCGCUGUAAAAC
rnacentral:rRNA from 1 species